AUGCAAAGAAAAAUGUACGCAGACAGGAUGCGGCCGGGAUGCGUCCGCGCGUUGGGCGCACGGCCACCGCAUCCCAGAAACGGUCCGGACACGACCCCAUUGCCCUACCCAAACGGACAGAAUCCGGGCAAAACGGACGUCCGUUUGGGGCCGCGCGGUGGAGUUGGCCUUAGUCCUACAACUUGCAAAAUAAACCUACCCAAUCCUACAACUUGCACCCAAUGUGCAACUUUGGUCCUGGGCCAAUCACAUAGCAACAACUGGACUGCUCGGGCCCGAGCCGGUCGGCGCACGCAUAUUUGCAGAAUCCCCCCUGCCUUUCCUUGUAAUGAACCCGCAGUACAGGCUCGAGAGUCAGGGGGAAGCUAA
rnacentral:rRNA from 1 species